rnacentral:rRNA from 1 species
UACGUAGGGUGCGAGCGUUAAUCGGAAUUACUGGGCGUAAAGCGUGCGCAGGCGGUUCGUUGUGUCUGAUGUGAAAGCCCCGGGCUCAACCUGGGAACUGCAUUUGUGACUGCAUAGCUAGAGUCCGUCAGAGGGGGGUGGAAUUCCACGUGUAGCAGUGAAAUGCGUAGAGAUGUGGAGGAACACCGAUGGCGAAGGCAGCCCCCUGGGAUGAGACUGACGCUCAUGUACGAAAGCGUGGGGAGCAAACAGG